rnacentral:pre_miRNA from 1 species
CAACUCUCAUUCUACACCGUUGGAUCGAGAAAUAGACGUCCGAGAUUCGUCCACGUCACCCUGAGUUAAAAUUUAAUUCGCAGAUUCACUCAUGAGUUAAAAUAUAAUGAGAGUUAAAUUUUAACUCAUGGUGACGUGGACGAAUCUCGAACGUCCAUUUGUCGAUCCAACGGUAUAGGAUGAAAGUUG